rnacentral:rRNA from 1 species
AGCGAACGCUGGCGGCAGGCCUAACACAUGCAAGUCGAGCGCCCAGCAAUGGGAGCGGCAGACGGGUGAGUAACGCGUGGGGAUGUGCCCAAUGGUGCGGAAUAACCCAGGGAAACUGGGAUUAAUACCGCAUGUGCCCUUCGGGGGAAAGAUUUAUCGCCAUUGGAUCAACCCGCGUCUGAUUAGCUAGUUGGUGAGGUAAAGGCUCACCAAGGCGGCGAUCAGUAGCUGGUCUGAGAGGAUGAUCAGCCACACUGGGACUGAGACACGGCCCAGACUCCUACGGGAGGCAGCAGUGGGGAAUAUUGGACAAUGGGCGCAAGCCUGAUCCAGCCAUGCCGCGUGAGUGAUGAAGGCCUUAGGGUUGUAAAGCUCUUUCGCCGGUGAAGAUAAUGACGGUAACCGGAGAAGAAGCCCCGGCUAACUUCGUGCCAGCCGCCGCAGUAA